rnacentral:lncRNA from 1 species
GGGAUGGAUGAGAAGAAAAAGGUGGAACCAGUGCCAUUAUUCAAAAGAAAGAAAGAUGAGAAAGGAGUUUCGAUGGAAGAGACGAAGUGUUGUAAGAAACGAAGAAGAAGUAAAAGAAAGCGAUGAAAAUGAAAGAUAAAAGUUGAAGAAGAAGGAAAGAUGGCCGUCGUGUCGAAACGAAUUCCGAGAUCGGCUAUAAUGAUGAAUAGACGGCGGUAAUUAAAUGACCUAAUUAAUGCCGUAUGUAAGACAAAAAUCGAGGGAGAAAUCAGGGCCGUAAAGAAAAAUGAACGG